rnacentral:rRNA from 1 species
UAUCUGGUUGAUCCUGCCAGUAGUCAUAUGCUUGUCUCAAAGAUUAAGCCAUGCAUGUGCAAGUACGUACCUUCCUUAGAGUGAAACCGCAAACGGCUCAUUAAAUCAGUCAUAAUCUAUUGGGUGUCGAUUAUCCGUUUACUCGGAUAACCGUGGCAAUUCUAGAGCUAAUACGUGCGAUUAAGCCCCGACACUUCUCUCGAGAAAAACGUCUAAAAUUUUUAUCUUCUCAACACUCGCAAGAAUGUUUCUGAACGAUAGAUUGAUGAAAGAGAAAAAACAGAACCUCGCGUUCAAUCUCUCUUUCCUCUCUUUCUUCUUCAUCUUCCUCUUCUUCGGGUAAACGAGUAAGUAAAUAACCUAGGCGCCUCGCAGAGAGGGGGAAGGGCGCAGUUAUUAGAACCAUAAACCGAGACGGACUUUCGAGUCCGAAUAAAACUUUUGGUAUAUGGUGACUCUGGAUAACCUUUGCCAAGCGCUAAGGCCUCGUGCCGGCGCUGCUCCCUUCGAGUGACUGCCCUAUCAGCUUUCGAUUGUAGGAUAUUCGCCUACGAUGGCUGUAACGGGUAACGGGGGAAUCAGGGUUCGAUUCCGGAGAGGGAGCCUGAGAAACGGCUACCACAUCUAAGGAAGGCAGCAGGCACGCAAAUUACCCACUCCCGGCUCGGGGAGGUAGUGACGAAAAAUACCGAUGCGGGACUCAUCCGAGGCCUCGCAAUCGGAAUGAGCUCACUAUAAAAAAGUGGGCGAGGAUCAAUUGGAGGGCAAGUCUGGUGCCAGCAGCCGCGGUAAUUCCAGCUCCGAAUAGCGUAUAUUAAAGCUUGCUGCGGCUUAAAAAGCUCGUAGUUGGAAUUUCGGUUCGUACCGACGGCUCCACCCAAAGCGUUGUAUCGCAUAAUAUGCAAAGCUUCUAUUAUAUCUCUUCGCCGUACAUAAACUUUGUGUUAUUUGAGACGGCAAAUGGCGAGUAGAGAAGAGAGAGAGAGAGAGAAGUAAAGGUGUGGUGUGUGUGUGUGUAUGUAGUUUCUACUACCACCUCAUCCCCCCUAUAUCAUCUCUUCUUCUUCUUCUCUAUAUAUCUCUUCUCGUCGUCGUCUCGUAUAAAUAAUACAUACUACAGUUUAUGUAAAUGAGGUUAUUGAGAUACAUAUAUAUAUAGUUCUGCGCACUAUCGCGUUCAGCGCUGGGUGGUUUCUAAAACCGUCCGGUUUACGAAUUUGUAAAACUACUAAAACUUUUCGUCGGCUCUCACGGGGUGCUCUUCACCGAGUGUCCCGCGUGGCCGACGACGAUCGCUUUGAACAAAUUAGAGUGCUCAAAGCAGGCUAAAAAUUAUUGUUACGCCCGAAUAACAAUGCAUUGAACGAUGGAACAGGACCUCGGUUCUGCGCAUACUGUCGUNAACUAACUUUUUAUUCUCGGUUUUUACCCGAAUCCGAGGUAAUGAUUAACGGGAACGGUCGGGGGCAUUAGUAUUGCGACGCGAGAGGUGAAAUUCUAUGACCGUCGCAAGACUACCUACUGCGAAAGCAUUUGCCAAGUACGUUUCCAUUAAUCAAGAACGAAAGUUAGAGGAUCGAAGGCGAUCAGAUACCGCCCUAGUUCUAACCUUAAACGAUGCCAACUAGCGAUCCGCGUACCAGUCAUUCCCAAGACUGCGCGGGAAGCUCCCGGGAAACCAAAGUUUUUGGGUUCCGGGGGUAGUAUGGUUGCAAAGCUGAAACUUAAAGGAAUUGACGGAAGGGCACCACCNGGAGUGGAGGACUGCGGCUUAAUUUGACUCAACACGGGAAACCUCACCAGGCCCGGACACCGGAAGGAUUGACAGAAUGAGAGCUCUUUCUCGAUUCGGUGCAUGGUGGUGCAUGGCCGUUCUUAGUUGGUGGAGCGAUUUGUCUGGUUAAUUCCGAUAACGAACAAGACUCUGGCCUACUAAAUAGUCGGCGGAUCGUUUCCCGAGGUGUUUUCGCUCUUUUUUACCGCUUAUAAAAGCGUAUUGCGAAAAUAAAGGGGCGGACGACGUCGUCGUCGUCGUCGUCGUAGUAGUAUUAUUAUUAUUAACCGUUCUUAACAAAUACUACAAAGUCGAAAAAGGAAAAAAAUUUUUUUUCCCCAAGUAGGCUUUGUAUAACCUGUUUUUGAACGCGUUAUAUAUAUAUACUCUACGUACGUACGUACGUACGUACGUACGCUCGUUCGUUCCCUCGCUUGCGCUUUUAGGUAUUUAUAGGAGUGUUUCACCAAAGGGGCGUCCGUCGCCAAACUUAAUCUUCUUAGAGGGACACGGCGGUCUCGAGCCGUACGAGAAAGAGCAAUAACAGGUCUGUGAUGCCCUUAGAUGUCCUGGGCCGCACGCGCGCUACAAUGAAGGAAGCAGCGUGCUUUCCCCCUCCGAAAGGAGUUUGGGUAACCCGUUGAAACUCCUUCCCGAUUGGGAUUGGGGGUUGCAACGGUUGCCCAUGAACGAGGAAUUCCUUGUAAGCGCGAGUCAUUAGCCCGCGAUGAAUACGUCCCUGCCCUUUGUACACACCGCCCGUCGCUACUACCGAUGAAUGAUUAAGUGAGAGCGUCGGACUUAACACCCCUUUAUAGUGGGUAGUAGUAAUCACGUGUGUUUUUAUACAUACGUAUUCUACACAUCAUAUCCACUCGGGGAAGUUAGGGAAGACGUCCGAACUUGAUUAUUUAGAGGAAGUAAAAGUCGUAACAAGGUUGCCGUAGUGAACCUGCGGAAGGAUCAUUA